rnacentral:rRNA from 1 species
UACGAAGGGGGCGAGCGUUGUUCGGAAUUACUGGGCGUAAAGGGCGCGCAGGCGGCCUUAGAAGUCAGAUGUGAAAGCCCCGGGCUCAACCUGGGAAUGGCAUUUGAUACUCUGAGGCUGGAGUACGGGAGAGGAGAGUGGAAUUCCCAGUGUAGAGGUGAAAUUCGUAGAUAUUCGGAAGAACACCAGUGGCGAAGGCGACUUACUGGACACAUAUUGACGCUGAGGUGCGAAAGCGUGGGGAGCAAACAGG